CCUACGGGAGGCAGCAGUGGGGAAUUUUGCACAAUGGGCGCAAGCCUGAUGCAGCAACGCCGCGUGAGUGAAGAAGGCCCUCUGGGUUGUAAAGCUCUUUCGGCUGGGAAGAAGGGUCUACGUGCUAAUAUCACGUGGAUUUGACGGUACCAGAAGAAGAAGCACCGGCUAACUUCGUGCCAGCAGCCGCGGUAAUACGAAGGGUGCAAGCGUUGUUCGGAAUAACUGGGCGUAAAGGGCGCGUAGGCGGGUUGGUAAGUUAGAUGUGAAAUCCCCGGGCUUAACCUGGGAACUGCAUCUAAUACUGCCGAUCUUGAAUGUUCGAGAGGGUGGUGGAAUUCCCGGUGUAGAAGUGAAAUUCGUAGAUAUCGGGAGGAACAUCCGAGGCGAAGGCGGCCACCUGGCGAAACAUUGACGCUGAGGCGCGAAAGCGUGGGGAUCAAACAGGAUUAGAUACCCUAGUAGUC
rnacentral:rRNA from 1 species